rnacentral:lncRNA from 1 species
GACGAGUGGGAAAUGAAACACAGAUGGGUCAGAUGGGUAAGGAGAGGGGGAUUACAGGUCAGGCCAAAGAGUUGGAAUAAAUUAAGUGCUUAUGAGGUACAGAAUGGCACAUUGUUUAAGUGAAUGGACAGGGAAAAAACAUUCCAGCAUUGUUCAUCCGCCGAGGGAGCCCAACGCUCCUCUUCCCAGACGAGCCCAGGCCACAGAGCGCCUCCUCCUCGCCAGGAUGUUUGUGACCCACAGACUGAAAAUGCGGCCAGGCGGUGCCCGAAACAUUCUCCCAGCCUCCAAAGAGGCCAGUUUGGCUUUAUUACACGGGAGAUGUAAUUUAUUGGGAGAAAUGUUUGGGUUCGUGUGUCGGAUGGUGGAGAGUCAGAUUUGGAGUUCCCUGGGGAUCUCCGAGGAGAAGAAGCAGAUGUUCACAAAGCAACUGACCAGGCCAGGUGUGUCCUUCAAGGCUACCUGCAUUCAACAGAGGCGACCACAGCCCAGACCCAUCCUUCUUGGGAGAGUUUCAAGAUGCUCCACAUAGUGGUGCCUAGCGCUCUGUGCACUCAGAGGCUAGAAGAAAAGAUACAGAGGUCCUCUUUCAAGGAGAGGCCCUGACGUUUCUAUUCUUACAAGGAUUCUUUGGUAAUAAAUACAGUGAAAACACCGUCACCGUGGAGAUAAUACUUAAUGCUCAAGAGGUACGUAGCAGAGAUUGCAUUCCAAUCAAGGACUUCCGUAACCCUGUCUACCAAGCCAGUAUCACCUGUAGGCCAGUUCACCUCCAUCCAGUCACUUUACAGCACUUGAGUGUUUGCUGUCCGCUCAAUUAAAAUCCUACUCUGGUGGGAAAAACCAGAUUUCCAAAUGGGGACUUUAUUGAUUCAAUAAAAUUUAAGAAAUUCUGCUUAUGGAAAAACUCAUUAACCCAAACUAAUAAAUACGAGUUUACCCUG